ACGGGGGGUGCGAGCGUUGUCCGGAAUCACUGGGCGUAAAGGGCGCGUAGGUGGUUUGAUAAGCGCGCGGUGAAAGCUCGGGGCUCAACCCCGAGUCGGCCGUGCGAACUGCUGGGCUCGAGCACUGUAGAGGCAGGCGGAAUUCCGGGUGUAGCGGUGGAGUGCGUAGAGAUCCGGAAGAACACCGGUGGCGAAGGCGGCCUGCUGGGCAGUAGCUGACACUGAGGCGCGACAGCGUGGGGAGCAAACAGGA
rnacentral:rRNA from 1 species